CCGCAAGUACAAUUUCUAGAUUUAUAACUCAACCUUCUUUUAUUCAUUGAUACAAAAACAUUGUUAUAUUAGCAACAAAAGGUUAUAUAUUGUUCCUCACGAUGACAAAGCAAUAUUUCCGUGGCUCUCGUUGGCACUGAAACAAGGCCCAGUUUUUGCUUGCUCGAUGCUGGUAUAUAAGACGUGACUGCUGAGGCAGGACAAUCACUCACUCAAGUGCCUCUAUCGACUGAACACUCCUCAACAUCAGCUCUGCAAUAUGAAGGUGAUUGGCGCAAUGUUGUUCCUUCUGGUGGCUCUGUUUGCCAUCUUGGGAUCCUCUGAGGCCAUGCCGGAGCCUGAAGCCGAUCCUGGCUUCCUCGGUGGUGGAUACUAUAGGCCUUAUUACAGACCCAUCAUCAGCUAUGGCUAUGGAGGCUAUGGUGGUUAUGGAGGCUAUGGAUGGUAAAUGUUUCUCUUAAUGACGACGUCGAGAUUCUUCAGAUUCUUCAAAUGUUCCUGAAGCUACUUUGUAAAAAGGUUUCACAAUAAAUUAUAGAUAAAA